rnacentral:rRNA from 1 species
GGAGUUUGGGCCGUGUCUCAGUCCCAAUGUGGCCGAUCACCCUCUCAGGUCGGCUACCGAUCGUCGACUUGGUGGGCCGUUACCUCACCAACUAUCUAAUCGGACGCGAGCCCACCCUUCACCGGAUUGCUCCUUUGACCCCUGCGGGAUGUCCCGCCGUGGUCUCAUGCGGUAUUAGUACAACUUUCGCUGUGUUAUCCCCCUCGUGAAGGACAGGUUGCUCACGCGUUACUCACCCGUCCGCCGCUAGAACAUUCAUCUUCCCUUCCAUCCGAAAACUUCCGUUCCGCUAAAUGUCCCCGCUCGACUUGCAUGUGUUAGGCACGCCGCCAGCGUUCGUCCUCGAGCCACUGAUCAAACUACU